rnacentral:rRNA from 1 species
AAUAGAUACCCGGGUAGUCCACGCCGUAAACGAUGAGUGCUAAGUGUUAGAGGGGUUUUCCGCCCUUUAGUGCUGCAGCUAACGCAUUAAGCACUCCGCCUGGGGAGUACGGCCGCAAGGCUGAAACUCAAAGGAAUUGACGGGGGCCCGCACAAGCGGUGGAGCAUGUGGUUUAAUUCGAAGCAACGCGAAGAACCUUACCAGGUCUUGACAUCCUCUGCCAACCCUAGAGAUAGGGCGUUCCCCUUCGGGGGACAGAGUGACAGGUGGUGCAUGGUUGUCGUCAGCUCGUGUCGUGAGAUGUUGGGUUAAGUCCCGCAACGAGCGCAACCCUUGAUCUUAGUUGCCAGCAUUCAGUUGGGCACUCUAAGGUGACUGCCGGUGACAAACCGGAGGAAGGUGGGGAUGACGUCAAAUCAUCAUGCCCCUUAUGACCUGGGCUACACACGUGCUACAAUGGAUGGUACAAAGAGCUGCGAACCCGCGAGGGUAAGCCAAUCUCAUAAAGCCAUUCUCAGUUCGGAUUGUAGG